UAUGUGAUCGUCUCUCGCAUAUCAAUAAGCGGAGGAAAAGAAACUAACAAGGAUUCCCCUAGUAACGGCGAGUGAAGCGGGAAGAGCUCAAAUUUGAAAUCUUAAAGGGUUUCCCUUUACGAAUUGUAGUUUAAAGAAGUGCUUUCUGUUGAGGUUUUGGUAAAAGUUCUUUGGAAUAGGACAUCAUAGAGGGUGAGAAUCCCGUAUUUGACCUUUACUUCCAACUUUGUGAUACACUUUCAAAGAGUCGGAUUGUUUGGGAAUGCAGUCCAAAAUGGGUGGUAAAUUUCAUCUAAAGCUAAAUAUUGGCGAGAGACCGAUAGCGAACAAGUACCGUGAGGGAAAGAUGAAAAGAACUUUGAAAAGAGAGUUAAACAGUACGUGAAAUUGUCAAAAGGGAAGCGUUUGACACCAGUGUUGUUUUUCUGAAAAUCAAUUAAAGAACUGUUUAUGCUAAGUUGUUUAGACUUUAUCAGCUAACUGUUUAGUUUUGAGCUUUUCUUUAAUGCACUUUUCAGUUAACAAGUCAACAUCAAUUUCUUUUGCUGUAAAAAAGCUUGAGGAAGGUGGCUUGAGAUUCGUCUUAAGUGUUUAUAGCCUCUUGCCUAUGCAGUCGGAGAGAUUGAGGUCUGCAGCGUAGAUCCUUCGGGGCUAAAUGCAUUUGUGCUAAGUUAUAGCAUUUUAUAGACAACUUGUUGACUAUAAUUUGUCUUGUAGCUUACUCGCUUAUGUUAUUUUACCUACGCUUAGGAUGUUGAAGAUAUGCGCGACACG
rnacentral:rRNA from 1 species